rnacentral:rRNA from 1 species
GAAUUUUAUAUAUAAAAAAUAAAAAUAUAGUUUAUAAAAAUUUAAAGUUAUAUAUUUAGUUGGGGGGAUAGUUAAAUUUAAAAAACUUUAAUUUAAUAUAAUCAUAAAUUAAUGAGUAAGAAAAUUAUAUGAAUAAUAAAUAGUUUAAGUAAGAAUUAAUUACCUUAGGGAUAACAGCGUAAUAUUAUUGGAGAGAUCUUAUUGAUAAUAGUGAUUGC